rnacentral:rRNA from 1 species
UGAGGGAUAUUGGGCAAUGGGGGAAACCCUGACCCAGCAACGCCGCGUGAGGGAAGACGGUUUUCGGAUUGUAAACCUCUGUCCUCUGUGAAGAUAGUGACGGUAACAGAGGAGGAAGCUCCGGCUAACUACGUGCCAGCAGCCGCGGUAAUACGUAGGGAGCAAGCGUUGUCCGGAUUUAUUGGGUUUAAAGGGUGCGUAGGCUGUUAUGUAAGUCAGCGGUGAAAUACCUAAGCUCAACUUAGGGGCUGCCGUUGAUACUGCAUAGCUGGAAUAUGGUUGCUGUUGGCGGAAUGUGUAGUGUAGCGGUGAAAUGCAUAGAUAUUACACAGAACACCGAUUGCGAAGGCAGCUGACAAAACCAUAAUUGACGCUGACGCACGAAAGUGUGGGGAUCAAACA